AGAAGAGAGACAGUGAAGAGAUCGAGGUGAUAGGUGGAGAACCGCGCAAGAAAAGCACAGAAGAGCAUCUUCAACCUGGAGAGGAGAAGGAAGAAGGGGAAGAGAAAGUAGAGAAAGUAGAGAAAGAGGCGGACGCUGAUGAGUUUGAGUGGUCGGCGGAUGUGCGGAAGCUGCAAGAGCAGCAGCUGCGGGGCGAGCUGGUAGAGCAGUAUCACUCCCUGCUGGUGGAGCGUAACCGUUAUCAGCGCUACAACGUUUACCUACAGCAGAAGAUUCAUGAGACCCUACGCAAGAAGGGUCUGGAAGCAGCAGCGGAACCUGUGGACAAGGGCGCUGAACCAGAAUCUCCUGAGAAAGAGCAAGCAUACUUGCGCUAUCUGGCCAUGCUGGAGGAACUGAAGAAACAAGAGGCAGAUGACUUAGAGUGGUACCGUCAUGAGGUGCGUGAGCUGAAGCAGCAGUGCCAGGAGAAGCAGGCCAAGGUGGAGAAAGAGUGGAAGCGUUUCCAGGCCCUCAAGAAGCAGGUGGUGAUGCAGGUCAUGGGCAGUUGCCGCAUGCGCGGUGGGCGCCAGGCUGCUCUGAGAGAGGUGGAACAGAUUCAGGCUCUGGAGGAUAAAAAGGAGAAGGAGAUGAGCGCCGUGCGUCUCGAGAACGUGCAGCUGAAGCAGAGCCUGGUACACUUUGAAACCAGGAUGAAGGCCCAGGAGGACUUGGCUGAGGGGCUGCUCCUCAUCGACUUUGAACAGCUAAAAAUUGAGAACCAGACCUUCAAUGAGAAAGUAGAGGA
rnacentral:lncRNA from 1 species